UUUAAACUCAUGUAUUCCCAGGUUUUGUUAUUAAAGAUCCUUCAUUUGAUUUUCAUUCAUUUCAGAAAGGACCAAGGAUCCUGGUGUCUUAGGGUUUUUUGCCUGAUGUACACAGAUUACUUUCUUACCUUCAUUUGUUCUUUUAAAGAGAUACCACUUGAAUUUACCCUGUGACUUUCUUGUCUUCACUGUAAGUCAAGAAAGUAUUGAAAGUUUAGAGAAUGAUAAGUUUUUGAGUAACGUGACUCCUUCUUUUGCAAGAGAUGAAAAGAGUUAAAAACCAGCAAGCUCCUCACUCGCGGUCAGAAAACCUUACUGCUGAAAGUCAUACAAACAUGCAGCCUGGCCCUGUUCAAUGUCUUGAUUGCCAUAAAACUAUAGAAACGUUACUUAGCAUGAAUUCAUAGUCUGGUUCUGGAAAAGAAAGAAAAAGAAAAAGGUAAAUAUUGCAUAAUUCUCAGUAAUGAGAACAUUCUUAUUUUCCAGAAGACGUCAGUUUAAUCCUCCAGGUACUCUCAGUAUAUAGAGCAACUUUUGAUCUCCCCCUACAUAAUACAGCGCGGGAGAGUGUCUCUUUAAAUCAAUUUAUAAAAUAAUUCAGGACUGUGGGUGUCUUUGAUCUGUUCCUCUCUGCUAAAGUACAGAAGAGAAGAACAUGUCGCUUAGCAACCCCAGCCGGGACUGGGGGGAGGCAGCGAGCGAUGGAUGGUCCAGAGUCACCAAAGGGAAAGAUUCAUCCCCACCAGAAAACUCAACUUCUGAAGAUGCUUCUCCAAAAUAAAGAAUGCAAAUAAACAAACACGGGGGCUUGCAGAAUGAGAGAAAUCAACCAUCAAACCCCACAGCCCUGCAUGGCUGAGUUGUGGAACAGAAAACUGCUGCAAAAAACACUCUGUAAGAGGGAGAAUGACAGAACCAGCCCACUUCAGUGUGCUUCGCACAGAUGAAAAAUGUCUCCUAAUUAAAUAAAGAGACAGAACAUCUCCAGCUUCUCAAGCAGACUUCAUGGGGCUGAUAGUUUGAAGAAUAUGUUUUGGACUACACUGACAUAAAACCCUGUACAAUUAAAGAUUUCUGGUUAUGGCAUUCAAGUUACCAGAUCAAGAUGAUACAUAAAAAAAGCAUGCAGAUAAGGCAUCAUUUGCCCAAACAUGUAAUCAGAAACUGACUUCCCAAAGGAGAACCUACAAACAUUUCUUCAGGCUCCAGGACAGGAUUGAGGAGGGAGUGAAAUGAGUGAAGGAGAAGAAGGUAAUUCCAUCGGAACAAGGAUACCAUCUUCAAAGACACUGUCAGCUUCAGCAUUUGGGCUAAUGAGCCUCAAUUAUACUGCUAGUCUUACAGUACUGGAAACGUACAGCACCCUUUUACUUACAGCCAGUUUAUGGCAUAUAAAAAUAAACUCAUUGAAACCAACAAGUCAUUCUGCAUCUGAAGUUAUUUUCCCACUAAAGAGCCAGGGAUCUUCAAGAAGAAUGUACUUCUUGUAGAAUUACUGCCAGUGUUACAACACAAUUAAAGAGCAUGGUGGAUGAUAAAAUACUCCAACAUGUCAUGCACUGCUGCAAUCAUCUCAUCCCAUCCUGGUUUAUGUUUGACUUCUUUAAGCCAGUUCUUGUCCCUUCGCUUACUCUUGUCUUUAACCUUAAAACUUACCAUGAGCAUUGCCAGCUAUUCUCCUGCUAAAAUGCAGCCUUACUUUUGUAUGUCAGACUCUCUCUGUUCUAUUUGGUCUUUCAAAACAGACUGGAACAUCAUCCUCAUUCUUUCUCUACCUCCCUAGUAAGCGCUCCUGCCUCUCAUUCCCUGCUUCCUACAUACUUGGUCAUUAAGGAGCCUCUCCCACAAGCAUGAAUUCCCCUGUCGUUCCUGGACAGACUUUUCUUCUCUCAACACCAGAACCUGAGCCCAUGUCUCUGGCAUUCUUUGACAGUGGAGUUAUCUGUUCAAGAUCAGUACAUUAAAUCGGGGGGGGGGGGGCAGUUAGAGUCUCUUCCAAGCUUGUCCCACUGAUUUAUUUUCCAGAUUCUGUAAGCAGUCUGAUCACAUAUUGCUUUUUUUGUCAUUCCCAUCCAGGAUCUUACCUUCUGCAGAGGUUACACUAUGGGUCAGCCUGUACACAGAUUAGAUGUAAACUCGACAGUUAUUUCUCCAUGACAGAAAUAGCAUUUAAGAUACAUGCUUUUCUACCCUAGCUGAAAAAUAAAGCUUUGAACUAGGCUCUGAUGAUCUUACAACUCGCAUCCAUAACAUUCGUUACUGCUCUUUGCAUUCUCCAUACCCUCCUUGACCCACCUCCCCAGCCACCUCUUUCACUAGGAAACUACGGACUCGUCUCUCCAACAGAUGAUAAUCCCAGAUUUUUUUUCUGCGGCCAGGACUUCAUUUCAUCCACAAAGCUAUCAGCUCCUGAUCAUCCUCAAGACGCUGUCAGAAAAACCUUGUUUUCCUGUCUUGUGCACAGAUGCAGCAGCAUUACCUGUCAGCACAAGCAACACUGCUGUCUCCUUUCUUCCAUCCUCUCCCACUUCUCCAUGUGUCUGGUUCAUCCCCAGUGUGUUCCUUCAGUGCCCUGUGGUCACCACUUUUAUUUGCAUUUAUGCAUGGCCAAUGUCAGCAGGGUUUUAGUCCAUAGUUAAGACUCGUGUAAGCUAACAAUAGCUGACUGUUUUGUUUCUGCUCAUACUGAACCUGCAAUGCCUAACGACUAACACAUGCACCUCCUUGCUCAC